CGGAUUUAGAGAAGAAGAAGAAGGAGGAACGUACUUAUAGUCGUCUGGUUUGGGCCAUAGGAUUGAGUUUCUAGUACAAGAUAACAUCAAAUAAAGAAUGUUUAGAAGAAGAUAAAAAAGGGAGAGAACUUUCCCAAGAACAGGAGCAGAGACGGAGAAGGUGGGCUUGGUAUACUCUAUAUACUAAAUCACAAGUCAGUCAACCAAUUCUAUUGUGACACAUGGAAAAUAUUUCUUUUAAUUCAAUAAAGUUAAUUAAUCAUCAACAUAAUAAUUAAAAUUUAAAUCGAUUACAAAAUCAAAUAACUGUAUAAAAUAACCAUCUCUAUAAGGAAUUCCACGUUCCCUAUUCUCAUGGCAUGAUUUCAAACUAAUUAUCCUUAGAAAAGAACAAAUAAUUAACUUUCUUUCUUUUUCUAUAUUCUCCGAAUUUCUCUGUUUUCAUCCUCUUUUGUAAUCUUUAUCUUAAUCUCCAAUUGUUUCGUUUUUUUUUUGGUUGAGUGUAGCAUCAAGACUCGACAUAGCUUUAUGCUUUCUUUUCUCAGUCAAAGUUAUCUUUCUCUACUUCUCAGAGUAAUACUACUAUUAUUUUUGUAUGAUUGUGUUUGGUUUGGUCGUUAAAAAAAAGGGUUUUAUUCUGUUUGAAGUGUUUCUUAUGGAUUCAGAGCCGGUCUUAGAAAGAAGUGUGCUAGAAGCAAAGACAUAAAAUUUUGGCUUAUUAAUUAUAAAUGAAAAAAGAUUGUAAAAACUAAUAGGGGACAGCUUUCGAACCUGACACCAUUUACUGUCUAUAGCUAUGCAUUAACCAACUUAGCUAAAACAACUUUAGUAAAAAUGUGGCCGAUUUUAUUCUUAUUAAUUGGCGGCCGGAAGUAUAUACUAGUGUUUGAGCAACAACACUGCACAAAUAUAUCUAAAAAUCAGACUACAGAAUACUAAAGGUAAAUAUUUAACACAUCUCUUUUUGUUUACAUGGAAAGUUCUAACCUUAUUGUUAAUUUUUUAAUGUUAUUAAGUUGGGUGAACUUUUCAGUUUAUCAUGGAUAUAUGACAAAGUAAAACUAACUAACCUUGCCAUUGAUAAACGUGAAGAUGGCAUAUUGUGAUGUUGUGUGUGACGAGAUUAAGGUAAUAUGGUAAAUAGAGGUAGUGUAGCUUAUUAUUGCUGUUAGUUUUUCUAGAUUUACUAUCCACAAUUUCUAGAAUUAUUUUCCCGUACAGACUCGAACACUAGUAUAUGUCUAAUUAGUAAAACAUCUGUAUUUCUUCAUUAUGAAUUAAUUACACAGACAAACACACUAUUAAUGAGUCUAUUUGCGAGUUUCGAAGGAUACGAUUAUGCUUUCUGUCUAGCAAACCAAAUAGGUAAAUAAUAGUAAGAUAAGUUUUAAGUUUAUCAUCCACAAAACAAACAGAAGGUUGCAUAGUAUUAUCACAUGAUUGAUAAACACCAAAGAGCUUCUAAUUAGUCUCUUGAGAGAGAAAUUCAUUACAUCAACAUCCGCUCCUUCUCAAAAGGA